CCCGAAACCCUGUCUCAGUUCGGAUUGGAGUCUGCAACUCGACUCCAUGAAGCUGGAUUCGCUAGUAAUCGCGCAUCAGCCAUGGCGCGGUGAAUACGUUCCCGGGUCUUGUACACACCGCCCGUCACACCAUGGGAGUCGGAAAUGCCCGAAGUCAGUGACCCAACCGUAAGGAGGGAGCUGCCGAAGGUGGAGCCGGUAACUGGGGUGAAGUCGUAACAAGGUAGC
rnacentral:rRNA from 1 species